rnacentral:rRNA from 1 species
ACUCCUACGGGGGGCAGCAGUGGGGAAUAUUGCACAAUGGGGGAAACCCUGAUGCAGCGACGCCGCGUGAGUGAAGAAGUAAUUCGUUAUGUAAAGCUCUAUCAGCAGGGAAGAAAAUGACGGUACCUGAGUAAGAAGCCCCGGCUAACUACGUGCCAGCAGCCGCGGUAGUACGUAGGGGGCAAGCGUUAUCCGGAUUUACUGGGUGUAAAGGGAGCGUAGACGGCAGUGCAAGUCUGGAGUGAAAGGCGGGGACUCACCCCCCGGACUUCGCUGGCAACUGUACGGCUGGAGUGCA